GGAGCUUGCUCCACCGGAAAAAGAGGAGUGGCGAACGGGUGAGUAACACGUGGGUAACCUGCCCAUCAGAAGGGGAUAACACUUGGAAACAGGUGCUAAUACCGUAUAACAAUCGAAACCGCAUGGUUUUGAUUUGAAAGGCGCUUUCGGGUGUCGCUGAUGGAUGGACCCGCGGUGCAUUAGCUAGUUGGUGAGGUAACGGCUCACCAAGGCCACGAUGCAUAGCCGACCUGAGAGGGUGAUCGGCCACAUUGGGACUGAGACACGGCCCAAACUCCUACGGGAGGCAGCAGUAGGGAAUCUUCGGCAAUGGACGAAAGUCUGACCGAGCAACGCCGCGUGAGUGAAGAAGGUUUUCGGAUCGUAAAACUCUGUUGUUAGAGAAGAACAAGGAUGAGAGUAACUGUUCAUCCCUUGACGGUAUCUAACCAGAAAGCCACGGCUAACUACGUGCCAGCAGCCGCGGUAAUACGUAGGUGGCAAGCGUUGUCCGGAUUUAUUGGGCGUAAAGCGAGCGCAGGCGGUUUCUUAAGUCUGAUGUGAAAGCCCCCGGCUCAACCGGGGAGGGUCAUUGGAAACUGGGAGACUUGAGUGCAGAAGAGGAGAGUGGAAUUCCAUGUGUAGCGGUGAAAUGCGUAGAUAUAUGGA
rnacentral:rRNA from 1 species